rnacentral:rRNA from 1 species
UACACACCGCCCGUCACACCAUGAGAGUCGGUUUUACCAGAAGUCGCUGCGCUAACUUCGGAGGCAGGCGCCCAAGGUAAGACCGAUGAUUGGGGUG